GGUAUGCGAUUUGGUCUGGUUAAUUCCGACAUAACGAACGAGACUCUAGCCUGCUAAAUAGUACGACCCGACUCACCUUUUUCGCUCCGUUGCCUCGAUCUUCUUAGAGGGACAUACGUCUGAAGAGCGCAGAGAUUGACAAUAACAGGUCUGUGAUGCCUUAGAGUGUUCGGGGUGCGCACGCGCGCUUACACAUGAAGGGGACAGCGAGUUUUUUCCUGGUGUUCGAAAAAAGAACCGGGUAAAUCUGUUGAAUAUUUCCCUUCGUGAACAAGGGAUCGGGGCGGGGCUUGCAAUUAUUCCCCGUGAACGGAGGAAUUUCCCCAGUAAGGCGCAAGUCCAUCAGCUUGCGUUGAAUUACGUCCCUGCCCUUUGUACACACCGCCCGUCGCUACUACCGAUUGAAUGGUUUAGCAAGGUCCUCGGAUUGGUGCCGACUUGGUGGCAACACUAGGUCGGAUACUGAAAAGAAGAUCAAACUUGAUCAUUUAGAGGAAGUAAAAGUCGUAACAAGGUUUCCGUAGGUGAACCUGCGGAAGGAUCAUUA
rnacentral:ncRNA from 1 species